AUUGAACGCUGGCGGCAGGCCUAACACAUGCAAGUCGAACGAGUGGCGGACGGGUGAGUAAUGUCUGGGAAACUGCCCGAUGGAGGGGGAUAACUACUGGAAACGGUAGCUAAUACCGCAUACCAUCGGAUGUGCCCAGAUUGGAUUAGCGUGUAGGUGAGGUAACGGCUCACCUAGGCGACGAUCCCUAGCUGGUCUGAGAGGAUGACCAGCCACACGGGAACUGAGACACGGUCCAGACUCCUACGGGAGGCAGCAGUGGGGAAUAUUGCACAAGGGGAGCAAGUAUGAUGAAGCCAUGCCGGGUGUAUGAAGAAGGCCUUCGGGUUGGAAAGUACUUGCAGCGGGGAGGCGUUACCAGCAGAAGAAGCAUCGGCUAACUCCGUGCCAGCAGCCGCGGGAAUUC
rnacentral:rRNA from 1 species